rnacentral:lncRNA from 1 species
CUAGCACUCCAUCUUACUGACACUUUACUGUGUUUUAGAUGCAAACAGUCACAGAAUAUCUACAUCAUCAUCAUCAUCUUCAUCUUUCUCACCAGGAGAAUCUCCACUGAUCUCAUCUGCGUCUCCUGUAACUGGCUCUUCUCUGAUCAUCAGUGUGUCUGUGCUUCUGCUUCUGAUCUUCAGUGUGAUUCUGUUGGUGAUCGUCUCUCUCUGGAGGAGGCGUCAGUCUCACGACGCUCAUCCCUCAUCCAGAAGAUCUCACAGGACUCCAGCAAACACUGACGCGGCUUCUAAUUAUCAUUGUGAUUACGAGGAGACUGAAGACAAUCGUAGACAAUUACCCACAAACCCCUCUGAUUCUACUAAUGCAAUCUAUGCUAAUCCAGAAUUACCCAUAAACCCCUCUGAUUCUACUAAUGCAAUCUAUGCUAAUCCAGAAUUACCCAUAAACC